rnacentral:rRNA from 1 species
CCUUCCCCCUUCCUUCGUGCCUAAUCGCUCCAAGUCACGCGUACAGACGAGGCGUUUUCUCUUGUGAUGUUAGCGGCGCACGAGGUUGUAACACGUAGGUUCCCUACCUUUAAGACUGGGAUAACGUCGGGAACCCGGAGCUAAUGCCGGGUAAUAUUUGAAGCAGCAUGGUUCGAUAGUGAAAGAUGGUUUUGCUAUCACUUAUAGAUGGACCUGCGCCGUAUUAGCUAGUAGGUAAGGUAACGGCUUACCAAGGCAACGAUACGUAGACGACCUGAGAGGGUGAGCGGCCACACGGGAACUGCGACACGGUCCAGACUCCUACGGGAGGCAGCAGUAGGGAAUCGUCCGCAAGGGGCGGAAGCCUGACGGAGCAACGCCGCGUGAGUGAUGAAGGUCUGCGGAUCGUAAAGCUCUGGUAUUAGGGAAGAACAAACGGGUAAGUGACUGUGCACGUCUAGACGGUACCUAAUCAGAAAGCCACGGCGAACUACGUG